CCGUUUGUCUUGAAGCACUCCAUUAGGUCCUUUACGCGUAACACGAACGAGUUCUUCGCGCGUGUCCAAAAUGAACAAGGCUAUUUCAAUUUUCGUGUGCUGUUUGUUCCUAGCAGGGAGUCUGAGUGGCGCCACCUUCGAAAUUCCGAACCCUGCUGGACUGGAGGCGAACACCCUCAGACCCAUCGGCGAACCUUCCAAGGGUGCAGCGAUCGCUUCGAUUCUCGGGAAGCCGACGCCGAAGCCCCGGACUAUGCCCGCGAUUCCAGGCCUGCCUCGGAUGCCCGCCAGGACGCCGCUUGUCUGAUUCACUGACUGAAUAAACCCGACGCUGUU